UACGUAGGGUGCGAGCGUUGUCCGGAAUUAUUGGGCGUAAAGAGCUCGUAGGCGGUCUGUCGCGUCGAUCGUGAAAACUUGAGGCUUAACCCUGAGCUUGCGGUCGAUACGGGCAUGACUGGAGUUCGGCAGGGGAGACUGGAAUUCCUGGUGUAGCGGUGAAAUGCGCAGAUAUCAGGAGGAACACCGGUGGCGAAGGCAGCUCUCUGGGACGGUACUGACGCUGAGACGCGAAAGCGUGGGGAGCGAACAGG
rnacentral:rRNA from 1 species